rnacentral:rRNA from 1 species
CCUACGGGAGGCAGCAGUGGGGAAUAUUGCACAAUGGGGGAAACCCUGAUGCAGCGACGCCGCGUGGGUGAAGAAGCGCCUCGGCGCGUAAAGCCCUGUCAGCAGGGAAGAAAAUGACGGUACCUGAAGAAGAAGCCCCGGCUAACUACGUGCCAGCAGCCGCGGUAAUACGUAGGGGGCAAGCGUUAUCCGGAUUUACUGGGUGUAACGGGGGCGCAGACGGCGAUGCAAGCCAGGAGUGAAAGCCCGGGGCCCAACCCCGGGACUGCUCUUGGAACUGCGUGGCUGGAGUGCAGGAGGGGCAGGCGGAAUUCCUGGUGUAGCGGUGAAAUGCGUAGAUAUCAGGAGGAACACCGGUGGCGAAGGCGGCCUGCUGGACUGCAACUGACGUUGAGGCCCGAAAGCGUGGGGAGCAAACAGGAUUAGAUACCCUUGUAGUC